rnacentral:rRNA from 1 species
CACGUAGGAGGCGAGCGUUGUCCGGAUUCAUUGGGCGUAAAGAGCUCGUAGGCGGCUUGGCAAGUCGGGUGUGAAAACUCCAGGCUCAACCUGGAGACGCCACCCGAUACUGCCAUGGCUAGAGUCCGGUAGGGGACCACGGAAUUCCUGGUGUAGCGGUGAAAUGCGCAGAUAUCAGGAGGAACACCGGUGGCGAAGGCGGUGGUCUGGGCCGGAACUGACGCUGAGGAGCGAAAGCGUGGGGAGCGAACAGG